rnacentral:rRNA from 1 species
UACGAAGGGGGCUAGCGUUGCUCGGAAUCACUGGGCGUAAAGCGCACGUAGGCGGCUUGUUAAGUCAGGGGUGAAAUCCUGGAGCUCAACUCCAGAACUGCCUUUGAUACUGGCGAGCUUGAGUUCGGGAGAGGUGAGUGGAACUGCGAGUGUAGAGGUGAAAUUCGUAGAUAUUCGCAAGAACACCAGUGGCGAAGGCGGCUCACUGGCCCGAUACUGACGCUGAGGUGCGAAAGCGUGGGGAGCAAACAGGG